GCCGCGGUGGUGUAGCCUGGAACUUUCGCUCCUCGCGAAGCGAGUGGGCACUUAGCACAAGGGAUUGUGGAUCCCUUAGCCCGAGUUCAAAGCCACUUUUCCGGCAGCAUCCGCUUGCACAAAAGCGGCUGGCCAAAAGUGCGUGAAAUUCUCGGCCGCGGCC
rnacentral:tRNA from 1 species